GAAAUCACAUGAGCCAUGCGUUUUGUUGGUGAUUGUGAUAACGUAAGGGAAAAAAAUGAUAUUACCUUACUAUUAGUGUUGUCCAAAACUGGUGCCAGAAGACUCGGUAAGGCCAGAGACGCAAACGUUAGUCGUCCUAAUCAGGCGUAAAGGGUAUGUAGGCUGCUUUAAAAGUUUUAUUUCUUAAAUUAGCUAUGUAACUAUAUAUUUAAUUUUUAAAUAAUUUAAUAUAAUGUUACAAAAUAAAAUAAAAUGAAUAAAAGCUAGAAUCAAAUUGAAGAUAAACCGAAUAAUACUUAGAGUAGGGAUUAUAUCCGUAGAUACUAAGGGGAAUACUAAAGGCGCAAGCUUUUUAUCUACUAAUGAUUGACGCUGAGAAACGAAGGUGAGAAUAGGAAAUAGGAUUAGAUACCCAGAUACCUCUCACUGUCAACGAUGAAUGGUGGUUGUUAGUUUUAAUAGAAACUGGUAACGAUGUUAACACGAUAACCAUUCCGCCUUGCGAGUACGGUUGCAAAACUGAAACCAAAAAAAUUAGUCGGUCU
rnacentral:rRNA from 1 species